rnacentral:rRNA from 1 species
ACUCCUACGGGAGGCAGCAGUGGGAAUAUUGCGCAAUGGGGAAGCCAUCGACGCAGCAACGACCGCCGUGAAUGAAGAAGGCCUUAGGGUUGUAAAGUUCUGUUUUCUGGGACGAUAAUGACGGUACCAGAGGAGGAAGCCACGGCUAACUACGUGCCAGCAGCCGCGGUAAUACGUAGGUGGCAAGCGUUGUCCGGAUUUACUGGGCGUAAAGGAUGCGUAGGCGGAUGUUUAAGUGAGAUGUGAAAUACCCGAGCUCAACUUGGGUGCUGCAUUUCAAACUGGAUAUCUAGAGUGCAGGAGAGGAAAGCGGAAUUCCUAGUGUAGCGGUGAAAUGCGUAGAGAUUAGGAAGAACACCAGUGGCGAAGGCGGCUUUCUGGACUGUAACUGACGCUGAGGCAUGAAAGCGUGGGGAGCAAACAGGAUUAGAUACCCUGGUAGGCUCUGC